GUACUAUAUAUUGCGAUUCAUGAAGGAGAUUGUUGAUAUGAAUCAAACUAUAAUCUCAAAAACGGUACGAUAUUUUCAUUAUUUGAUUUUCAUAUAUAAACUAUGUAUAUAUUUGAUUCUAACUUAUUUAUGUUCAAUUUUUAUAUCGCACAGUACUUUGACAGUUCCAGUCCAACAUACUCUGAAAGAGAUCUAAUUGAAAUAAAGGAAGACUGGUGUCUGUAUGUGAUUGAAAUGAAAAUUAUUUGAUUUGCCGGGAAAUGGCAUGCUGCAAGGGAUAGUUAUAUGAAUAUAUGGUAGUUCUGUUCUGUGUAGUUCUGACAGUUAUAUGUAUAUGAAUAUGGCACAUUUGAAAAGUUGUGAAUAUGUAGUUAUAUGAAUAUGUAUAUAGUUAUGUGAUGUUGUCAAUAUGUGAAUAUAUAUAUAUAUAUAUAUAUAUGAAUAUGUUGUGAACUGAUUGU
rnacentral:lncRNA from 1 species